CCUACGGGAGGCAGCAGUGGGGAAUAUUGCACAAUGGGCGCAACCCUGAUGCAGCGACGCCGCGUGAGUGAAGAAGGAUUUCGGUUUGUAAAGCUCUAUCAGCAGGGAAGAGAAUGAGGGUACAUGACUCGAAAGCGCCGGCUAACAACGUGCCAGCAGCCGCGGUAAUACGGAGGGGGCAAGCGUUUUCCGGAUUUACUGGGUGUAAAGGGAGCGUAGACGGGGAGACAAGUCAGAAGUGAAAGCCCAGGGCUCAACCCGGGGACUGCAUUUGAAACUCCCGUGCUGGAGUGCAGGAGAGGUAAGCGGAAUUCCUAGUGUAGCGGUGAAAUGCGUAGAUAUUAGGAGGAACACCAGUGGCGAAGGCGGCUUACUGGACUGUAACUGACGUUGAGGCUCGAAAGCGUGGGGAGCAAACAGGAUUAGAUACCCUUGUAGUC
rnacentral:rRNA from 1 species